rnacentral:miRNA from 1 species
UUUGCAUGUGCAUGUGCGUAUGUGCGCACAAGCGUGCACACACACACACACACACACACACACACACACACACACA